AGGACGAACGCUGGCGGCGUGCCUAACACAUGCAAGUCGAGCGGUGAUCCUCCUUCGGGAGGUGAUCAGCGGCGAACGGGUGAGUAACACGUGGGCAACCUGCCCCUCACACUGGGAUAACCUCGGGAAACCGGGGCUAAUACCGGAUACGACCUCGAGCGGCAUCUCUUGAGGUGGAAAGCUCCGACGGUGAGGGAUGGGCCCGCGGCCUAUCAGCUUGUUGGUGGGGUAAUGGCCUACCAAGGCGACGACGGGUA
rnacentral:rRNA from 1 species